rnacentral:rRNA from 1 species
UACGUAGGGGGCAAGCGUUGUCCGGAAUCAUUGGGCGUAAAGAGCGUGUAGGCGGCCAGAAAAGUCCGCUGUGAAAACUCGAGGCUCAACUUCGAGCUGUCGGUGGAAACUUUCUGGCUAGAGUCCGGAAGAGGAGAAUGGAAUUCCUGGUGUAGCGGUGAAAUGCGCAGAUAUCAGGAGGAACACCGGUGGCGAAGGCGGGUCUCUGGGCCGAUACUGACGCUGAGGUGCGAAAGCGUGGGGAGCAAACAGG